rnacentral:rRNA from 1 species
UACGUAGGGACCAAGCGUUGUUCGGAUUUACUGGGCGGAAAGGGCGCGUAGGCGGCAAUUCAAGUCAGCUGUGAAAUCUCUGGGCUUAACCCAGAACGGCCAGCUGAUACUGCUUUGCUAGAGUGCAGAAGGGGCAAUCGGAAUUCUUGGUGUAGCGGUGAAAUGCGUAGAUAUCAAGAGGAACACCUGAGGUGAAGACGGGUUGCUGGGCUGACACUGACGCUGAGGCGCGAAAGCCAGGGGAGCAAACGGG